rnacentral:rRNA from 1 species
UACGGAAGGUCCGGGCGUUAUCCGGAUUUAUUGGGUUUAAAGGGAGCGUAGGCUGUCUAUUAAGCGUGUUGUGAAAUUUACCGGCUCAACCGGUAGCUUGCAGCGCGAACUGGUCGACUUGAGUAUGCAGGAAGUAGGCGGAAUUCAUGGUGUAGCGGUGAAAUGCUUAGAUAUCAUGACGAACUCCGAUUGCGCAGGCAGCUUACUGUAGCAUAACUGACGCUGAUGCGCGAAAGUGCGGGUAUCAAACAGGAUUAGAUACCCUGGUAGUCCGGCCCGGUAGUCCGGCUGACUGACU